AACGAUCUCACCGACUACCAGCUCGAAGCACCCACCUAUAUCAGUGUCGCGUCUGUCUCCGAACUGUACGCAAUCGUCAACCGGACCUAUGGAGGGUCCACCCGGUCAGUGCCUAUCCUAUAAAUAUACAAUACCAAACUCACAACCCCACACAUAAUCCCACGAAAAUCGGUUUCCCAAGACCGAUUACCAUAACUCACCGCAAGUCUCGAAAAU
rnacentral:lncRNA from 1 species